UGGGGAAUAUUGCACAAUGGGCGCAAGCCUGAUGCAGCCAUGCCGCGUGUGUGAAGAAGGCCUUCGGGUUGUAAAGCACUUUCAGCGGGGAGGAAGGCGUUAAGGUUAAUAACCUUGGCGAUCGACGUUACCCGCAGAAGAAGCACCGGCUAACUCCGUGCCAGCAGCCGCGGUAAUACGGAGGGUGCAAGCGUUAAUCGGAAUUACUGGGCGUAAAGCGCACGCAGGCGGUCUGUCAAGUCGGAUGUGAAAUCCCCGGGCUCAACCUGAGAACUGCAUUCGAAACUGGCAGGCUAGAGUCUUGUAGAGGGGGGUAGAAUUCCAGGUGUGGCGGUGAAAUGCGUAGAGAUGUGGGGGAAUACCGGUGGCGAGGGCGGCCCCCUGGACAAAGACUGACGCUCAGGUGCGAAAGCGUGGGGAGCAAACAGG
rnacentral:rRNA from 1 species